GUUUCUGGUUGAUUUGAUUUCAGGAACAGGAGUUGGUCCCUGCAGGAUCUCAGGCUGCAGGAGGAUCCAGUCACAACUUGGAGGAUCCUGCAGGUGGAGUCGCCUACGCCUCCAUCAGCUACACCAAGACGACCAGCAGCAACACCAGAGUCAUUGAUGGUGAAGAUGAUGAUGGCCCAGUGACCUACAGCACAGUGAAACCUUCAUCCUCAGAUGAUCCCAGUAAACUCUACGCUGCCGUCAACAAACCAAAACAUUGAGACAUUUUGUGACUUUACUGUUGAUGAAGGUUAUGGUUGAUUCAAACAAGUAAGAAUUCAGAUUAUACAUAAUCCCAAAUUGAAUUCAAAUGAUUCUGGUCAUAUUUUUUAACCCAAAUUAAAAUUUUUACUUUGAUAAUUGUUGUUUCUUCUUUGAGUCCAGCAGAGGGCGCUGUAGGACAAAGAUCACAGAAUAUAUUUUGACCUUUUAUUAAAGAAUUAAAAAAUGAGAAAUGUUUAGGAAUUGAAAGUCUGUUGG